GACGAACGCUGGCGGCGUGCCUAAUACAUGCAAGUUGAGCGCUGAAGGUUGGUACUUGUACCAACUGGAUGAGCAGCGAACGGGUGAGUAACGCGUGGGGAAUCUGCCUUUGAGCGGGGGACAACAUUUGGAAACGAAUGCUAAUGCCGCAUAAAAACUUUAAACACAAGUUUUAAGUUUGAAAGAUGCAGUUGCAUCACUCAAAGAUGAUCCCGCGUUGUAUUAGCUAGUUGGUGAGGUAAAGGCUCACCAAGGCGAUGAUACAUAGCCGACCUGAGAGGGUGAUCGGCCACAUUGGGACUGAGACACGGCCCAAACUCCUACGGGAGGCAGCAGUAGGGAAUCUUCGGCAAUGGACGAAAGUCUGACCGAGCAACGCCGCGUGAGUGAAGAAGGUUUUCGGAUCGUAAAACUCUGUUGGUAGAGAAGAACGUUGGUGAGAGUGGAAAGCUCAUCAAGUGACGGUAACUACCCAGAAAGGGACGGCUAACUACGG
rnacentral:rRNA from 1 species